GACGAACGCUGGCGGCGUGCCUAAUACAUGCAAGUAGAACGCUGAAGGAGGAGCUUGCUUCUCUGGAUGAGUUGCGAACGGGUGAGUAACGCGUAGGUAACCUGCCUGGUAGCGGGGGAUAACUAUUGGAAACGAUAGCUAAUACCGCAUAAGAGUAGAUGUUGCAUGACAUUUGCUUAAAAGGUGCACUUGCAUCACUACCAGAUGGACCUGCGUUGUAUUAGCUAGUUGGUGAGGUAACGGCUCACCAAGGCAACGAUACAUAGCCGACCUGAGAGGGUGAUCGGCCACACUGGGACUGAGACACGGCCCAGACUCCUACGGGAGGCAGCAGUAGGGAAUCUUCGGCAAUGGACGGAAGUCUGACCGAGCAACGCCGCGUGAGUGAAGAAGGUUUUCGGAUCGUAAAGCUCUGUUGUAAGAGAAGAACGAGUGUGAGAGUGGAAAGUUCACACUGUGACGGUAUCUUACCAGAAAGGGACGGCUAACUACGU
rnacentral:rRNA from 1 species